GCUGGCGCCGCCGCCUCCAAGAGGUCUGACUCCUGCAGCUACUCACCAGGGUCGGGUAAUUCACUUCUUGCAAGGACUCGGCCAGAGGAGAGGUCGCUUAGAAACUAGUACUCUCAGAACAUGGAGUGGAAGAGGUGAUCAUGGUAGCAACAGACUGAGGAGUGAAUUUGAACUUGAGUUUUGUCUUGCUGUUUUUCAUUGAUGGAACCCAACUGGAAAUCAGAAUACAAGGGCACUCGAUUAAUUCAGUUCACAGAGGACUUCUUCCUGUGGCACGGAGCAUGGUGGGGAAAGGUACAAAGUAGACCUCGAGAAACAAACAGCAUGGUGACCAGUCACAAAAUGUAUACAGAAAAUUAACAGAUUUUUUUUCCUUGAAGAGAUCAAAUCUAAAAAACAGUAUAAAAAUAAGAAUGUGCAGGAUCUAUAUAAAGAAAUCUAUACUCUACCAAGGUACCUGAAAAAAUACACAGAUAAAUGAAGGCUUAUGGCUUGAUUUUAGGUAUAAAAAGUUAAUGUUUAAAGACAUCCAUUUAUCCACCUGGAUAAACAUGGUCAUUAUUUUUUAAAUCAAAGUCCCAAGAGCUCCAUUUCACAACCUGAAACUAUUUAAAAUCAUGUUAGAAAAUUAAAUAGUAAGAAAAUACUAGAAAAAAUCAGAAGAAUGAGUAGAAUCAUAGAGCUACAAUAAUUAAAAUAGGAUGGUUUGGGGGGAAGAUCAGUAAGUUAGAUCAAUGAAAUUGCAUAGAAAAGCAAGAAAUUGAUUAUUAUAUUUCUAUGGGCACGUGAAAACUGUGGCAUUUCUAAUCACAGGGGAACUUAUAGAUUAUAAGAUAAAAGACAUUAAGCCUAUUGGAUAACUAGUUUAGAGAAAAGAAAAUUCAGUUACGAUCUGACCUCAAGAAAAAAAUGUAAAUAGAUUAAAUAUGUAUAUGUAAAAUCAAAAAAAUCAUGAAUAUAUAAAUAAAAUUCGAUAAGUGUUUCUAUAUUUCAGAUGUGGGUCUAUACGGUAAUUUUAUAAUAAAUCAAUUAAAAGAUAUACUAAAAUCAUUUUAACUGGGUGAAAACCAUUUUCACUCACUUAAU
rnacentral:lncRNA from 10 species